GCCGAUAUAGCUUUAAUGGUAGAGCAGCUGAUUCGUAAUUAGCAGGUUCGCGGUUCAAGUCCGCGUGUCGGCU
rnacentral:tRNA from 1 species